rnacentral:lncRNA from 1 species
GGAGGAGGAGGAGGAGGAGGAGGAGGAGAGAGGAAAAGAAGAAGCAGCUGCUAAAUGUACAGAAUCACAUAUUCAACAGCACUCACUCCAGCUAAAACCUUGAAUUUCUGAAGACUGAAAUGUUCUCCAAAUAAAUGCAAGGUAUGAUUAUUGUAGUGAAGGUAUUUAGUCAUUUUAAUUG